UGUUUCAGAGUCGGGGUUGCCCCCCAACCCCCAAGCAGAGUGGCACACGUGGCAGGCACCCACCCUGUGACGAGCCCUGUAUCAGAGCAUGACGCCUCCCAUUAACACAGCAGUCUUCCUCCUGCGGUUGGACUGCUUUGGGGGCCAAACAUUAGUGGGAACGAGGCCUGGGCCUGGGCCUGGCCUGGACUGUAGAGACCACAGACAUGCCCUGGAGACUGGCCGUCAUUGCUCACCGGGGCCGCUCACCGCCGAGGGGCGCGGGCACGCGACUGUCAGGCUGGAAGCGGCGCCCCACCCCACGGCCUCGCCGCCCAUUCCAGAAACCGCGUUUACACUUCUCCCGAGCGUGGUGCUCCGGAAAGCUCCCUCAGGCCCAGCGCCGCCCCCGGGGGCCUGGGCUCCAGAGCCUCCUUCCCACGCGGGUCAAGGCGCUGCGGGCUGCCCGGGUGCGACCUGAGCUCAGAGAUCCCACUCAGCUCAGGGCCCGCCUUGCCCUCCUGCAGGAAUCCUCUCGUAGCCACACGCACCUCCACCCGGGUGAUGGGUCCAUCCCACUCAAGGCACAAUCUGCAACGGAGCAGCCACCAGCUCAGAGUGGGAGUGUGCACACGCUCCACACACACACACACACACACACCACAGAACACACACACGGACCACACACAGACCAGCCACAGAUUUAUAAACACACCACCACAGUACACGCCCACCACACACAGACCAGCCACAGAUUUACACACGCACCACAGUACACGCUCACCAUACACAGACCAGCCACGGAUUUACACACACAUCACAGUACACACUCACCACACACACACCAGCUACGACUUACACACACAUCACAGUACAUGCUCACCACACACAGACCAGCCACAGAUUUACACACACACCACAGUGCACACACACCACAGUGCACACACACCACGGUGCACACGCCCAGUGUUGCAGCCCACAUACUCGUAUGCUGCUUUCUCUCCAUUCGCUUCUGCAUCUUGUUGCAGCCUCCUCUGGAGUGCCCCCUUUGACCCAGGGGCCACUGAGAGGAGUGUGUGCUUGCUUCCUUAC
rnacentral:lncRNA from 1 species